rnacentral:rRNA from 1 species
UUGCAAGUCGAGCGGACAGAUGGGAGCUUGCUCCCUGAUGUUAGCGGCGGACGGGUGAGUAACACGUGGGUAACCUGCCUGUAAGACUGGGAUAACUCCGGGAAACCGGGGCUAAUACCGGAUGGUUGUUUGAACCGCAUGGUUCAGACAUAAAAGGUGGCUUCGGCUACCACUUACAGAUGGACCCGCGGCGCAUUAGCUAGUUGGUGAGGUAACGGCUCACCAAGGCAACGAUGCGUAGCCGACCUGAGAGGGUGAUCGGCCACACUGGGACUGAGACACGGCCCAGACUCCUACGGGAGGCAGCAGUAGGGAAUCUUCCGCAAUGGACGAAAGUCUGACGGAGCAACGCCGCGUGAGUGAUGAAGGUUUUCGGAUCGUAAAGCUCUGUUGUUAGGGAAGAACAAGUGCCGUUCAAAUAGGGCGGCACCUUGACGGUACCUAACCAGAAAGCCACGGCUAACUACGUGCCAGCAGCCGCGGUAAUACGUAGGUGGCAAGCGUUGUCCGGAAUUAUUGGGCGUAAAGGGCUCGCAGGCGGUUUCUUAAGUCUGAUGUGAAAGCCCCCGGCUCAACCGGGGAGGGUCAUUGGAAACUGGGGAACUUGAGUGCAGAAGAGGAGAGUGG